ensembl:ncRNA lncRNA:CR45317 long non-coding RNA:CR45317
AGAACACUAGUGCUUCUAUUUCAAUUCUUUUGUGUUGUUGAAUUACCGACAGAGCUGCUGAUGGAAAACUUUAACCAGAGUGGAGGUUAUGGGGCUUGGGCCGCGAUGAAUGUUCCUCUUAAGUAGCUGAAGCUUUUCGCGUAAAUUAGCCAAGUGUAGACUUCAUUAAGUUGGGCCAGUAAAUUAAGUGCUAAUGUCGAAAGUUUUGACCGACAAAGUGCGCAAUGAAACGGGCUAUAGUUGUUGCUGCCAUCCGAGGCGAUGUUGUUGUGCCUGAUAUUUUUGCGCCACUCCUGCUGCGGAAACAGCCAGCAGCGAUGGGAAAGCAAAAGCAGGAGCAGCUUCAUCCGAAUCCUCAUCCGCAUCGGCAGCCUCAUGCCCAUGAAACCGCAACAACAACAGCGGGCGUAACACCAGAUAUUAGGGUCAUCGAAUUGUGCAAUACCCUUUUAAGUGAUUUAUAUUAAAUAGCAGGAAUGUUCUGCUUCCAAGCAGAAUAACUACAAAAAACAAAAAUACUGCUCUUCAUAAUUCAGUGAAUUAGACUUAUUUACUUAAUUAUUAAUUUAUUAAACUUUCGAUUGCAAACAUACUAAAUCAUCAUCUAUUUUACAGGGUAUACCAAAUGGAGAAGUGGUUAGAAGGCUAAAUUGAUGAUGUAGACCAGCGAAGGAAAAUUGCACUCACUUUCCACGGCAGCUCCGGCCAUCCCCUUACCCCCUUCUCGACCAAAAAAUGAGAGGGCAGCUGCCACGCCCCCCAACCACCCACUAAAUUUUGCCCGUAAUGUCUGCGUGAGGCAAAAACAGUCUGCAAAUUUUUAAUGCUUUAAUCUUGAUGCUAAUAAAUCUUGAAGUUCCCUAGCACUUUCACAUUACUUUUGGGGCGCCAAAGGGUUGGC